rnacentral:rRNA from 1 species
AUGGAAAUCACUUUAGGAGAUGCUACUAAACUCCUAGAUAAUAUCAUGGUUAAUUACUCUCAAUGGCAUACCGAAAGAUCUACUAAUAAAAAAGUGCAUGCGAUAGAAGAAAUUAAUGGUUUGGGUGGAAAGAUGGAUGAACUUAUGAAAUUAUUUGCUACUAAGAGUGUUUCUUCUGAUCCUAAUGAUAUGCCUUUGUCUACUUUGAUUGAGAAUAAUAAUGAAUCUAUGGAUGUGAAUUUUGUUGGUAGGAAUAAUUUUGGUAACAACGCGUAUAGAGGGAAUUUUAAUCCUAGGCCUUAUCCUAGUAAUCCUUCUAAUAAUUAUGGAAAUUCCUACAACUAUUCUUAUGGAAAUUUUAAUAAGAUGCCCUCUGAAUUUGAGACUAGUGUCAAAGAAUUUAUGAGUUCGCAAAAGAAUUUUAAUGCUUUGCUUGAGGAAAAAUUGCUUAAAGUUGAUGAUUUGGCUAGGAACAUUGAUAGAAUUUCUCUUGAAAUUGAUUCUUUAAAGCUUAUAUCUAUUCCUCCUAAGCAUGAUAUCAAUGAGUCUCUCAAAGCUAUGAGAAUUUCCAUUGAUGAGUGCAAAGAAAGAACCGCUAGGAAGCGUGCUUCCAAAGAUGCCUUUAUUAAAGCAUGUUCUUCCAAUUCCUUUGAAAAUCAAGAUGAAGAUCUAAAAGUUAUUGAUGUGUCCCCCAUUAAAUCUUUGUUUUGCAAUAUGAAUCUUGGUGAAACUGAAUAUGAUCUUCCUUUACCUAGAAGGCGUUCCAAAAAUUCGGAGUAUUUAGAUCUUGAUGAUGAAAUUGAUAAAUGUGGGAUUGAAAGAAAUAAAAACCUAGAUGUCGCUAAACCCAUUAUAUUGGAUUUCAAGGAAUUUAAUUAG